rnacentral:rRNA from 1 species
UGGGGAAUAUUGCGCAAUGGGGGAAACCCUGACGCAGCAACGCCGCGUGAAGGAUGAAGGUUUUUCGGAUUGUAACUUCUUUAGUCGGGGACGAAUAAAUGACGGUACCCGAAGAAUAAGCCACGGCUAACUACGUGCCAGCAGCCGCGGUAAUACGUAGGUGGCGAGCGUUGUCCGGAAUUACUGGGUGUAAAGGGCGUGUAGGCGGGAAUGUAAGUCAGAUGUGAAAUUCCAGGGCUCAACCCUGGCGCUGCAUCUGAAACUAUGUUUCUUGAGUGCUGGAGAGGAAAGCGGAAUUCCUAGUGUAGCGGUGAAAUGCGUAGAUAUUAGGAGGAACACCAGUGGCGAAGGCGGCUUUCUGGACAGUAACUGACGCUGAGGCGCGAAAGCGUGGGGAGCAAACAGGAUUAGAUACCCUGGUAGUCCACGCUGUAAACGAUGGAUACUAGGUGUAGGAGGUAUCGACCCCUUCUGUGCCGGAGUUAACACAAUAACGUACCCC